rnacentral:lncRNA from 1 species
UUUUCGGGGUGUUGAAUUUUGGAAAUUUGGGUUAAAAAGGAAUGUUGGGUCGGCUGGGCCGAGCCCAACCCAUUUCUUCUUCCUUUCUCUCUCUCUCCCUCCCGUUUUCUCUCUUCCCACCCGCGUUUCUUCUCCCUCCACCCGGGAAACUUCACCACCGUCGUCCGCCGCCGUCCGGCCGCCCCAGACCGCCGCACCGGUUCCAAUCGAUCGACCUCCAACCCAGCAGCCUCCCUGGACCGGUGAGAGGAGCCCUAGCGCCGCCGUGAGUGAGCGGUGCCGCCCGAAAGCUUCGACUGCCGAAUUGGUUUUCUUGCCGGAACUUCCUCCUCCGGCCACCAAUCCGGGCAAGCUUGGUAUGGUUUUGUAGCCCUCCAACCCAGCAACCUUGCCCUAAAAGGACUCACUCCCUCUUGAGCUAGGUAAGGAGGAAUUUGAGGUGGAAGUUUUAUGGUGUUUUUGAUGUUUUUAGUCGAUUGCCCUAGUUAGGCUUGGAAUUGGUGUUUGUGCUAGUUAUGAAAGUUGUAGAGCUUGAUGAGAGGAAGAUGUUGUUAAAAUUUCAUAGGUUUUGGAGGUCGCCGGAAUUGACCUCCGGCCGCCGCUGCCGGCGGAGCCGCCGCCGGUUGGGAGAUUUUAAUGUUGUUAAAUUUGGAAUAUUAAGGGGAGUUUAUUGAAGUGAGUUAUGGAAUUUUUGGAUGAGUUUUGGAUAGGUUUAUGAAUUUCCGAAGUGUGGUAUUUUUGGCGGGUAAUUAAUGUAGAAUCCGGCCGUUGGAUUUAAGUCGUAUUUUGGAGAGGUUGUAUUUACGACUGUGGAGUAUGAUAUUUAAGUUCGGAUCGUCCGAUGUAAGAAUAUCGAAGUUAGGCAAUAAUGAGCGUAAUUAUGGCUCUCGGGUAAUUUUGCCUAUUUUGAUUAAAUAUUGGAUAUUGGUUGGGAAAUUAAUAUUAUAUUUGGAACAGGACGUGAAGAGGCUCGAGCAGACGAGACCCCAGAUUGACAUCAGGCUUAGGCCUAAUUCGUGAGUGG